AGACUUCAGAUUACAGGUCUCAUCGUCAACAGGAAAGAGAGAAGUCUCUCUCUCGACCCUCCUCCAACCCACCACCACCACCACCACCCACCGCACCACCUCUCGCCUCUGUCUCCCACCGACCCACCACCACAACACCGCCUCUCCUCUCCACUAGCAAAAUCUACUCUAGGAAUAGACGAGCCUUAGAUCGUCGAACGCCACAAUCGAUGGAUCCAGCGCCACCCGCCGCAUUUCCGCCACCCUCUCGCGGCUCCAAACGGAUGAUGGAAACAAAGAAGACGAGCGUACUCUUUGGAGCUUCUUCUGGAUUUCAACCAUGGAGAUCGAAUCACCCUAUAAUUUUGCCCUUACCGGAUGCAUUCCUUUUCUCAACGAGAAUGGGCUGGACCCCUCGAUUUAUAAUACUGAUCCCACCCCUCAAUAUAUAAGUGGAAGGCCGGGUGAAAGGUGUUCCGUGAAGAAAAGAAAGAAUUCACAGCCGUGCUUUUGUUUUUUUGGGUAGUGUGAAUUCUUGAAUUCUUGUGGGUGUGAAUUUUGCAAUGGUUGUGAAUUCUGGGGUGCAAAUUCACAAACCAAAGAAUUCACGCUAAGAACCCCACGGAAUUCUCAUCAAAAAUUCUGGAGGAGGUGUGAAUUCUGUUCAUAGUGUGAAUUCUGAAAAGAGGUGAAUCGAAUUGUUCCUCGCCGUGAUGAGUGGACUACAGGAAACGACGUCGACGGAGAAACGAUUGAAUGGACGAAGGUGGAGAUUAAAAAUUGUACAGUACAAGUUUCGAUAUAUAAUUAUAUGUAUAUAUAUAUAUAUAUGUACAUUAUGUAGAGAGAGAGAAAAAUGGGAUUUUUCACCAAUUUAGUAUGAAUUUUAGAGAUGAAUUCAGGAUGAAAGCUAGUCAUUGAUUUCUCUCGUAAUCGUUUUGUUCUUGUAUUGUUAUAGAUUGUUGUACUUCAGCUAGUGUGAAUUUAUUUGUUCAAUUUGUCCAUGAUUGGGAUUCAAUUGA